rnacentral:lncRNA from 1 species
GCCACUGUUCGCAGGCCGGCCGCUCGCCGUGGACGUAGUAGUGGUGUAGGAAGUGCCUGGCGCUGCGGCAGAGCUUCCACUCGGCGCGGUAGGCCUCGCAGGGGCGCGGCGGCUGCGGCGAGAGGCGGCGCCUGAGCGGGGCCCGGCGGCCGCGCCCUACGCCCCGAGCCAGUCCCGUUCCCUCCCUCCGGAAGACCCCGGUGGUUCCCGGCUCCGACCCAGCACACUCACCUGCCAGCCGCUGCCGUCCGCCAUGUCUGGGCGACCGGCGCGCCAAGCCCGCCCCUCAGUCCGCCAGCCAAUGAAAAAUGAAGAAAACGGCACCUCGUGAUCGACUGACAGAAGAACUAAUGAGCACCGACACAUUCAAUCACGUCUUCGCCCCCUUCUUCGAGAAGCGCCGACAAACAGGACGAGCAACCAAUAGCAACCGAGGGCGGCUGCGGCGCGCGCGGAGGGCCGGGGUCGCAGGGUAAAUCCGGGGCGAGACCUGGCGCGAAGCCUACGCGACCACCGCGACGACAGCGCCAUUCACCCCGGGCCAGGCGGGCAUCCUGGGCCGCGCAGCUACCUUACGUCAGCCGCCUCUCAAAUCACACGGCUCUGGCCAGUUCUUUUCAGCAGCUUUAUGAGAUUUUCUCAAAUCUCAACAAUCCGGUAUAUUUUCAAAAGUACAUACUGAGCAUCAAGGUGGUGCAGCGAACCUCCCAGAUCUGCAGCUCCAGCAGUCUUGCUUGAGCGUCCACUCAGGAUGGAGGUGAACUCGCAAAGUAACUGAGAUUGGUUGGGCAUGACAUAUGGUGGAUCUAGGGUUGAAUGACCUCCCCAGGGAACGCAGGCUUGAAGUGGAGGCUGAGAAUGCAAUCCGAGUACAGCCAUAGGCCGGUCAAAGGGUCUUGCUGUGUCACCCAGGCUUAGUGCAGUGGCGUGGCGUGUUCAUGGCUUACUGCAACCUCAAACUCCUGGACUCCGAACAGCUGGGACCAAAAGCAUGCACAGCCUCACCAGGCUAAUUUUUAAUUUUUUUUUUUUUUUUUUGUAAAGAUGGGGUCUUGCUAAGUUACCCAGGCUAGUUUGGCCUCAAGCGACCCUCUCACUUUGGCCUCCCAAAGUGCUAGGAUUAUAGGCGGAGCGCCAGUGCCUGGCUGGGACGUUUAUAAAAAGGAGCAAUGCACAAGAGGCAACAAAGGCAAGUAAAGAGGAGGCUGGUGGGCUUGCAGAAACGCCCUGCAGUACCUAUGCUGCGGUUCUCCCACUUCACUGAUAACAAAUCCUCAGUAUCCACUGAUACAAAUCCUGGGACUGCUGGGCCAGUCCCAGGAAUGACACUGGGACAGACUCCCUGGAGGUGGAUCAGAAAGCUGCAGUUUUACCAGGGGUCCUGCUGUUGAGGCAGCCGGCUCAAGGACCAAGCCCAAAUAAGACACUGAGAGGAAGGCUGCAGGCCAGGGUGCAGGAGUAAUGACCAGGAUCAGUGCUCCAACUGGCCCCACUGUGUCAUUAAAAGGCUCUGCAAUGGAAUCCAUCCUGGUCCAGGCAGGGGAGUGUGCCUCCAGCAAAGGACCAGGCGUUUCACUGCAUACACAGCAGGUGUUGCUUAGUGAAGACAAAAACCCAGAGCCAGAGGUACUGUAACAUUCUUCAUUAUGCAUAAAGUGACAGUCUGUUAGCUGAUGUGAUCCUGCAAAUGAAGGCUGUCUACCCACCAAGGGUUUCUCCCUCUGCUAGUAAAACUGAGACUUUGUCAGUGGAGGCUCAGGUAAGUCCCCACAGUGCUCAUGCCUUCCAAAACCACGCCCAUUUCCAGUGAUGAUGGUUUGUGCCACAGGCCAAGUACUGAACAUCAUGACACUCAUAGACACUCUUCACUGAAGACGUGGAUAGACCCUGGGGCCACCAUUCUCUCCUCUCUGGAGUGUUGGAGGGGCCCUGACCAGGGCAGGACCCCCAUGUCUGGAAGCAGGGUUAGCCCUGGCUCAUGGGGGACCCUGCUGGGCUUAGCCAUUGCCACCUAGGGAUCAGGCAGCCUUGUUUCUUCCUACUUUCUCCAGGAGAAGCCCCAGAGGGACACUUUUCUAAUGGUGAGAUGGAACACGGAGCACCUGCCAACAGGCCUUCAGUUAUGGUCAGAGGCCCAACCACCAGUCUGUGUUAGUACCUAAUCAAACAUUUAGAUUUAGGCUUUAGUUAUUGCCUGUUUUUACUUGAAAUUCUUGGCUUAGAAUUAUUCCCAAUGGGGCCAGGCACAGUGGCUCAUGGGAACAAAUUUAAAAUAAUCAGAUUAGCAUGUCAAAAGAUCUCACGUUAUAGAAAGUGAAGAUCUAAGACCAAAUAAAUACUGAUAAAAAAUACAGGCCAGCAGAAGCUUGGAUGAUUUAAUAAAUUAAAAUUGGGAGUUGGGGAGUAGGGAAGAAGGAGAGGAACAUCUCUUUAGCAUUUGUUCAUUCUAACAUUCACAUGUUUGCUUCUCCAUGGAGUUGUUUCACUAUGAACAGGUUCACUAAGGAGCCAGUUAUGUCCAUAUGAAAUGAGAAUAAAAGUGCAAACUCAUUCAGA